GAGAGAGAGAGAGAGAGAGAAAGAUGAAUGUAUUUACGGAACUGGAAAAUGGGUAGAGAUCGAGUAGGGAGGAUGAAGGAUCGGGACAUAAACGUGGCGUUCCGAAUGUAUAACUGUUGAAACUGUAAAUAGAUUAAUACGCCCUAAGUUUAUAAUAAAUUAUAAAUAAAUAAAAGUGUAAUUAGGAGUUGGUGUUGCCUGCACGUAAGGCGAUCACAUUAUACCAUUUCUGACCAGCAUCUUUAACCUUUUGCCACCCUUCAAUUAUCAUAAAUCAUCUCUUAAUUUCCAUGCACUCCUCCAUUUCUACGUCAUCUUUCUUUUCUUUUUAUUAGUUUUAUUUCAAUUUCUGAAUAAAGUAUAUGUUUUCAGGGAGGGAGGGGUCAUAUUUUAUAUCGAUAUCAAGCAGCGUGCCUAUUUGAUUUCAUAUGUGUGGUUACAA
rnacentral:misc_RNA from 1 species